rnacentral:rRNA from 1 species
CAGUAGCCGCGGUAAUACAGAGGGUGCGAGCGUUAAUCGGAUUUACUGGGCGUAAAGCGUGCGUAGGCGGCUAAAUGAGUCGGAUGUGAAAUCCCCGAGCUUAACUUGGGAAUUGCAUUCGAUACUGGUUAGCUAGAGUGUGGGAGAGGAUGGUAGAAUUCCAGGUGUAGCGGUGAAAUGCGUAGAGAUCUGGAGGAAUACCGAUGGCGAAGGCAGCCAUCUGGCCUAACACUGACGCUGAGGUACGAAAGCAUGGGGAGCAAACAGGAUUAGAUACCCCCGUAGUCCCUGUCUCUUAUAC